GAUGAGCGCUGGCGGCGUGCCUAAUACAUGCAAGUCGAGCGGUAAGGCUCCUUCGGGAGUACACGAGCGGCGGACGGCUGAGUAACACGUAGGAACGUACCCCAAAGUGAGGGAUAACUGCUCGAAAGAGUAGCUAAUACCGCAUGUGAUCUCCGGAUUAAAGCUUUAUGCGCUUUGGGAACGGCCUGCGUUCGAUUAGCUUGUUGGUGAGGUAAUAGCUCACCAAGGCGACGAUCGAUAGCUGGUCUGAGAGGAUGAUCAGCCAGACUGGGACUGAGACACGGCCCAGACUCCUACGGGAGGCAGCAGUAGGGAAUUUUCCACAAUGGGCGAAAGCCUGAUGGAGCAACGCCGCGUGCAGGAUGAAGGCCUUCGGGUUGUAAACUGCUUUUAUUGGACGAUUAUGACGGUAACCAAUGAAUAAGGGUCUGCUAACUACGUGCCAGCAGCCGCAGUAACAC
rnacentral:rRNA from 1 species